rnacentral:rRNA from 1 species
AAGUUUCUAAGUUUAGCUAAUGUUGCCCGUACCGUAAACCGACACAGGUGGGUGGGAUGAGUAUUCUAAGGCGCGUGGAAGAACUCUCUUUAAGGAACUCUGCAAAAUAGCACCGUAUCUUCGGUAUAAGGUGUGCCUCCCUUUGUAUUAGAAUUCACUUCGAAAGCAAAGAAGGUUACAACAAAGAGUCCCUCCCGACUGUUUACCAAAAACACAGCACUCUGCUAACUCGUAAGAGGAUGUAUAGGGUGUGACGCCUGCCCGGUGCUCGAAGGUUAAUUGAUGGGGUUAGCAUUAGCGAAGCUCUUGAUCGAAGCCCGAGUAAACGGCGGCCGUAACUAUAACGGUCCUAAGGUAGCGAAAUUCCUUGUCGGUUAAAUACCGACCUGCAUGAAUGGCGUAACGAGAUGGGAGCUGUCUCAAAGAGGGAUCCAGUGAAAUUGUAGUGGAGGUGAAAAUUCCUCCUACCCGCGGCAAGACGGAAAGACCCCGUGGACCUUUACUACAGCUUGACACUGCUAUUUGGAUAAGAAUGUGCAGGAUAGGUGGGAGGCUUUGAGUAUAUGACGCCAGUUGUAUAUGAGCCAUUGUUGAGAUACCACUCUUUCUUAUUUGGGUAGCUAACCAGCUUGAGUUAUCCUCAAGUGGGACAAUGUCUGGUGGGUAGUUUGACUGGGGCGGUCGCCUCCCAAAUAAUAACGGAGGCUUACAAAGGUUGGCUCAUAGCGGUUGGAAAUCGCUAGUAGAGUAUAAAGGUAUAAGCCAGCUUAACUGCAAGACAUACAAGUCAAGCAGAGACGAAAGUCGGUCUUAGUGAUCCGGUGGUUCUGUGUGGAAGGGCCAUCGCUCAAAGGAUAAAAGGUACCCCGGGGAUAACAGGCUGAUCUCCCCCAAGAGCUCACAUCGACGGGGAGGUUUGGCACCUCGAUGUCGGCUCAUCGCAUCCUGGGGCUGGAGCAGGUCCCAAGGGUAUGGCUGUUCGCCAUUUAAAGCGGUACGCGAGCUGGGUUCAGAACGUCGUGAGACAGUUCGGUCCCUAUCUGCCGUGGGCGUAAGAAGAUUGAAGAGAUUUGACCCUAGUACGAGAGGACCGGGUUGAACAAACCACUGGUGUAGCUGUUGUUCUGCCAAGAGCAUCGCAGCGUAGCUAAGUUUGGAAAGGAUAAACGCUGAAAGCAUCUAAGCGUGAAGCCAACUCUAAGAUGAAUCUUCUCUAAGCUCUCUAGAAGACUACUAGUUUGAUAGGCUGGGUGUGUAAUGGAUGAAAGUCCUUUAGCUGACCAGUACUAAUAGAGCGUUUGGCUUAUCUU